rnacentral:lncRNA from 1 species
CAGCUUUCCAUGCUACAAUUUUCCCUAAUCCACAUUUUAAAAAAAGAAAAAUGCAUACAUGGGUAAUGCAAUACAUAUGCACAUAUUACCCAGCAAGCUAAACACACAGAGCUGAACUAAAAUUGACUUCUCUUUGGGCAGAGAAACAAAGCAGGUCAGGAGUAAUUGUGCAGCAUGAACACAGAUACAAACAGAAAAUGAAUGCCAUGGAGGAGCACUGAAAACAAAUAAGAGUAAACAUUCUAAGCCUACGGACCAAUCAGCUCCUCCCACUGUCUCUUUGUGGAGGCUGUAGUAGCACCCAAAUCUCCAAGCACAAGAGACAAGGGAGGGAAGUGAACGUGGCCUUGAAAUCUCAACAACUGUGGUACCCUGACUUCCCAUAACGAUUACUGACUAGCUGCUGUUUGGCUUCAAGACAACAAAAGCUCCUUCAAGGUUUAAACUCGGGAGAUCACCAAAAAUCAAAACUCCUUAGUUGUUUUUUAAAUUCUAAAGUGGGAAUUUUAGAAUUUAAUUUACCCUAUUUACUCGAAUGUAACUUUUGACUUCUCUCUAUUGAAAUGCACAAAAACAAACAAAAAAAUUUAUGUGUGGAUACAGAGAUAGGAGACUGGCAGUGCCAUUUUUGGCUAUUUAGUAAAACAUCUUGUACUGAUAGAGCUUGCAUUGAUAUUUUCUCGCAUGGUUAAUUUGCAUGUUUAAGCGUUCACAGUUUCAUUUAAUGAACAUAUCCCCCGACAAAUUGAUAAUUCAGCCUUCAAUUAUGCAGAAUUCAGUUAAGUCUUAUCUGUGUAAUCCAUCAGUAUUUGAUUUACAAACAGAAAAUUUCUUAAUCCAUUUGCCCUUGUUUGAACUGGGUUUGAUAACUUAGUUAUGACUAUCUUCUUCACUUUGUGGCACACAUCACAUAGUUAUUCUUGGAUAGGAUACAGUCACUGACGCAACCAUGAACCGCUAAUUACAAGCUGGUGACAUUCUGCUUGUCUAUGCAGCUUUGAAGUUCUAAGGCUGUUUUUCUCUUGUGCGCUUGCUCUGUUUCAUUCUCUUCUCCUCAUGCCACCCACCCCCAAUCACUUACUCUCUCUUUCCUCUUUUCACUUUAAAGCCUUUCUGGAUUCACUCUAGGACUAUCUGGAGAAAGAGGUAAGAAUGAUCAGAUUCUGUAACUUAUUGCUUUUCCUUUCCUUCUGUACUAUCCCUGCACACAGAUCUACAGUUUGAAAGUACAGUAAUAAGAUCCUCACCCAGCCCCAUCCGCAGGAAUGCAUCAACAGCUGGCCAAACAUAAUCCAACACACAGAGCUGCCUUUGUAGAAUUAGUAACAAACAGUGGAAGGGCCAGACAGGCGCCCCAGAAGAGCUCCCCAUGACAACUGGGAAACCUCCUCACCCCCAGGGUUGAGCUGACUCCACUGAGCUGGGGUUGGAGAACCCCAGCUCUCACAUCUGAAUCUACAACAAGCCUCAAGUGCCUGCCCUCAACCUCACUAGAAGCUAUUCGGAGGGCAUUCGGCUCUCCAUAACAGCAAGUUAGAAGCAAGCAUUCUCCAUACUGACAACAGCCAUACUCUGCCUCAUGGCACAUGCCUUUUGAAAUGCAACACUGCAAAUCUCCAAAUCACAUGAACAGCAUUUACACCUGUACCUAACCAUCUCAGCUGUGAGCUGGUAGGACCACCUCUCGUCUUUAGAAAAUAAUUUCUUUUUGCAAAUUAUAGGCUGAUCCCGGCAUUCUGAAACAUGUAAAUAUAACACUGUAUUCAUCUCCACUGAGCAUUUAGCAUCUGAAGCCUGUGGUAGCCAGCUGGUCUCAAAGUCAUCUGGGAUACAUUUAUUUUGAUUAAAUUGAUCAGAUUUCUAUUUACAGGAUAGAAUCUUUUGCCAUUACUGAAUACAGCUGUGUUUACAGGGAUUUGUAGAAGAAGAAAACAAAACCCCACAAUCGGUCCUAGCAAAGCACAGAGCAUUCAGAACUGGAAGGAGUUAAAACAGAGGGGGCUUGCUUUCACAGUAAAAAGAAAAUUCUGCAUGCAGCUGCUUUGGCCAUGCUGUCUCACUAGUCAGGAAAUGGGUGUUGAACUGGAGCUGAAAACACAAGCUGCAAUCAAGCCCGAUCCAGCAAAGUGACAGACUUCCUGUGUAAAAUGGUCAGAAACCUUUUUUCAUGUCUCUACAUGCAUGCACAUGCAUUUAAAUCCAUGCUGCGAGGCUGCGAUUUUCUCUGGGGACACUGGUACAGUCAUCUAGCCCAUCAGUUCCUUCGUCGACAGCGCCGGGGACAUCCAGACUACAAUUUACAGUUCCUCUAUCCAUGUGCUGGGUUAUAAAUUAUGCCAUCCUCCCUAGAAUGAGAAUGCACAGCAAGCGGCAGACAAUCACCCGGCAUUCGGCAUCUCUUUCUUUUCACGCGCUCCCUCGCUCCGCCUUUCUCCAGCUCUGCCUUCUCAGGCAGAUACAUCAGAUACCUUGUUUAUCCAUCUUCAGCUCCACUCUGAGGGCGCAGACGCACGAUUCCGGGAUCGGGUGCACCUUGGCGAAGCCCAGGCGGGAGACGGCAGGAGCAGCUCAGGUAACCAGGGGAAGCUUGGCGUGCCCACGGAGAUGCAGCCCUGGAGCUGUGAGGAAAGACGGUCUGGCUUCAGAAUUUA